rnacentral:lncRNA from 1 species
CGAACAGUUACUAUUCUACGCUGUAUUAGAAUUAGCCAAACAAAAUGCAGCAGCUCAGUAUUCAGUCUGCACUUCCUAGAUUUACAAACCUCGGUUUAGAAGAGCCAGUUAGACAGGACCAUGGCUUUUACCUUUGUCUUCCUGGGAUCUAGUAUAGGAUUUGGUCCAUUGAAGACAACCAAUUGGAAUUUGUUGAGUGGAAACAACUUUGAUGCUGAAGAACAAGACAGACAUGGUCUCUACCCUCUGGGAUGUAUCAACUAAGGCAAUAAUGUGACAGAUAAACCCUGAAAUCCCACAAACUUCAUCCCAUGCGAGUUUACUUCUCAAUAAAAAUGAAUGUGGAUAUUC